UGGGGAAUAUUGCACAAUGGGCGAAAGCCUGAUGCAGCAACGCCGCGUGAGUGAUGAAGGCCUUCGGGUUGUAAAGCUCUGUCUUCUGGGACGAUAAUGACGGUACCAGAGGAGGAAGCCACGGCUAACUACGUGCCAGCAGCCGCGGUAAUACGUAGGUGGCAAGCGUUGUCCGGAUUUACUGGGCGUAAAGGAUGCGUAGGCGGAUACUUAAGUCAGAUGUGAAAAUCCCGGGCUUAACUUGGGAACUGCAUUUGAAACUGGGUAUCUAGAGUGCGGGAGAGGAAAGUGGAAUUCCUAGUGUAGCGGUGAAAUGCGUAGAGAUUAGGAAGAACACCAGUGGCGGGGGCGACUUUCUGAACCGUAACUGACGCUGAGGCAUGAAAGCGUGGGGAGCAAACA
rnacentral:rRNA from 1 species